rnacentral:sRNA from 1 species
AGGUUCGAUUCGAGCGUUAGCGAGAAAGCGUUGCCGCAGGCAACGACCCGAAGGGCGAAGCGCACCGCGCUGAGUAAUCCUUCCCCCACCACCA